rnacentral:pre_miRNA from 1 species
GAGACACCCCUCCGGGGCAAGACUUGCUUCAGUGGGGCUUUGGUGCUCACUGAGUUGCCCCCUGAAUGUGUCCUU